UGUAUAAGAUUCUAAUAAGGAUAUGUUGAGUAUUAAUUAUUUCUUCUGAAGUUGGUGGACAAAACAGAGUUAGUAUGAAAUAAUUAAUAUAGAAUUUGCUUCCUUAAUUUUGGAUAUGAUCACAAAAAAUAUAUCGUAAGCGACUUAUUGCAAUAUGCGAAACGAAAUAUUACAGAAACGGACUAUAUUUUUCUAUCAUAUUUUUUUACACACAUAACGUAAUCUCUUCCCAAUCUCAAACUAAGCCUAAAAUUUUUUCAACUAUUAAUUAGCCACUUUGAACGAGGCUCAUCGACUUUCUUCUUUAUAUUAAUAUUUUUUAACUUUUAACAUGAAGUUAAAAAUUUUACUAAAUUUGAUAACCCUAUUAUCUAUUAGUUAUUAAUUAUUUUUGUUUAAUAGUCAAUUUGCACAAAAAAUUCAUUAGUUUUGAGAUUUUGCAAAAAUAGGCCACAAUUUUGGAGUUUGCAUAUUAGGUCCGAAUUCUUAAAAAACUGACCAAAAUAUACCCUUAUUCUUUCUCUCUCCUAUUUUUUUCUCCGUUCUUCUUUUUAUUCUCUCCGAAGACACUACAACAAUAUAGGUGUACAUCAGCAGUCAAAACUGCUGGAAAAGAUUACAAAAACUGCUGGUAAUAUUUGCUCCAGCGAUUCUAAAAGUGCUGCUAAAAGUGUAAGUGACUAUUACUAUAUCCUUGCUGGUAUUACCCUUUUCCAACACUUUUAUUAACCAUUGGAGAAGAUAAUCUCUAGCAACAUUUUUAAACCGUCGGUACUUCUACAAGAAAACCACUGGCAUAAAGCACAUGUGCCGACAGUUUUAAACCGUUGGCAAUCUAAAACUAAUAUGAAAAAAAAAUUGCUAAUAUCAACAAAUUACAAUAGAGCUUUUCCAUUUGAUAUUUGCUGUAAAACUAACAAUUUGUAAUAUCCAAAAAAAUGAGUCAUAUUACUAAAUUGCAAUAGAGAAGUCUAUAACAAAACAGUUAAAAUGUUUGUAACAAAACUACAAGAUGGUACA
rnacentral:lncRNA from 1 species